GACGAACGCUGGCGGCGUGCCUAAUACAUGCAAGUCGAACGCAGUGGGGACGGGUGAGUAACACGUGGGUAACCUCCCAUCAGAGGGGAAAACACUUGGCAACAGGUGCUAAACCGAUACUGAUGGAUGCACCCGCGGUGCAUUAGCUAGUUGGUGAGGGAACGGCUCACAAAGGCCACUAGGAAUAGCCGAACGGAGAGGGUGAUCGGACAAACUGGGACUGAGAAACGGACUAGACGAAUACGGGAGGCAGCAGUAGGGAAUCGUCUGAAAUGGACGAAAGUCUGACCGAGCAACGCAGCGUGAGUGAAGAAGGUUUUCGGAUCGGAAAACUCUGUUGUUAGAGAAGCGGUAUCUAACCAGAAAGCCACGGCUAACUACGUGCCAGCCGCAGCGGUAAUUC
rnacentral:rRNA from 1 species